rnacentral:tRNA from 3 species
GGGCGCGUAGCUCAAUUGGCAGAGCAAGUGGCUCUUAACCACUAGGUUCGGGGUUCGAUUCCCCGCGCGCUCACCA